rnacentral:rRNA from 1 species
GGCUCAGUAACACGUGGACAACCUACCCUGUGGAGGGGGAUAACCCCGGAAAACUGGGGAUAAUACCCCAUAGGUUAGGGAGGCUGGAAUGCCCCCUAGCUCAAAGGUCCGCCGCCACAGGAUGGGUCUGCGGCCGAUUAGGUUGUUGUUGGGGUAACGGCCCAACAAGCCUUUGAUCGGUACGGGUUGUGGGAGCAAGAGCCCGGAGAUGGAUUCUGAGACACGAAUCCAGGCCCUACGGGGCGCAGCAGGCGCGAAAACUUUGCAAUGCGAGAAAUCGUGACAAGGGAACUCCGAGUGCCUGUAAAAUCAGGCUGUCCGCCAGUGUAAAUAACUGGCGAAGAAAGGGCCGG